UACGAGGGGGGCAAAUGUUGUUCGGAAUCACUGGGCGUAAAGGGAGCGUAGGCGGGUUCUUAAGUUAGGUGUUUAAUCCCGGGGCCCAACCCCGGACCGGCACUUAAAACAUGGGAAUCGUUAGAAUAGUGGAGAGGUCAGUGGAAUUGGAGGUGUAGCGGUGGAAUGCGUAGAGAUCUCCAAGAACACCAGUUGCGAAGGCGGCUGACUGGACACAUAUUGACGCUGAGGCUCGAAAGCAUGGGGAGCAAACAGG
rnacentral:rRNA from 1 species